UAUAAGCACAAAGCAGAGCCGCCAACAGCCAGUUUUGUUUUUAACAGGCUGCGUUCAUGAUUAAUGGACGUGCACAGUGGAAAGUGGCUGCUUUUGCCGUGACUGCAUCAAAAUUAACAGCUAUCAGUUAAAAACAACUCGUCAUAGCAUGACAUCACACUUAUGGAAACUUUGUAAUUAAUCUGUGGCUCCAUUUCAUUAACACGUAGCAGCUACAUUCUAUUCAAGCGCACUGGGACGUUUUCCUCAAAGAAACGCUGUCAGAAACACUUGGAAAUGUUAUGAUUUCGGUGCAACAUGUCCUUUAUAACA